AGGUUGUUGAGAGGAUCAACUUUAGAUCAUAAAAUGAUGCACGCAUAGCUGCGACUUCAAGAUGGAAAGGUUGAACAUGAUCAUACAAGAGAUGGUGAAAGAAAAAGAAGAGAAAGAAAGGUUGAACGGAAGGAUGACAAAUGUUGAAGCGAUGCUAAAAAUUAGGUAUCAAAACGUCUAAUCAUCGAGUUGGUUAUAAGCACUUUAUUUUGGAUAUGUAUUUUGUUCGGAGAACUCAUGUAUUUAAUUUGAUGUUUUAAGUGGAAUGCUUUAUAUAAUUUUGAAAAUUCUAGAAA